AGUGAACGCUGGCGGUAGGCCUAUCACAUGCAAGUCGAACGGCAGCACAGUAAGAGCUUGCUCUUACGGGUGGCGAGUGGCGGACGGGUGAGGAAUACAUCGGAAUCUACUUUUUCGUGGGGGAUAACGUAGGGAAACUUACGCUAAUACCGCAUACGACCUACGGGUGAAAGCAGGGGAUCUUCGGACCUUGCGCGAUUGAAUGAGCCGAUGUCGGAUUAGCUAGUUGGCGGGGUAAAGGCCCACCAAGGCGACGAUCCGUAGCUGGUCUGAGAGGAUGAUCAGCCACACUGGAACUGAGGCACGGUCCAGACUCCUACGGGAGGCAGCAGUGGGGAAUAUUGGACAAUGGGCGCAAGCCUGAUCCAGCCAUACCGCGUGGGUGAAGAAGGCCUUCGGGUUGUAAAGCCCUUUUGUUGGGAAAGAAAAGCAGCAGGUUAAUACCCCGCUGUUCUGACGGUACCCAAAGAAUAAGCACCGGCUAACUUCGUG
rnacentral:rRNA from 1 species